GACGAACGCUGGCGGCGUGCCUAAUACAUGCAAGUUGAGCGCUGAAGGUUGGUACUUGUACCGACUGGAUGAGCAGCGAACGGGUGAGUAACGCGUGGGGAAUCUGCCUUUGAGCGGGGGACAACAUUUGGAAACGAAUGCUAAUACCGCAUAAAAACUUUAAACACAAGUUUUAAGUUUGAAAGAUGCAAUUGCAUCACUCAAAGAUGAUCCCGCGUUGUAUUAGCUAGUUGGUGAGGUAAAGGCUCACCAAGGCGAUGAUACAUAGCCGACCUGAGAGGGUGAUCGGCCACAUUGGGACUGAGACACGGCCCAAACUCCUACGGGAGGCAGCAGUAGGGAAUCUUCGGCAAUGGACGAAAGUCUGACCGAGCAACGCCGCGUGAGUGAAGAAGGUUUUCGGAUCGUAAAACUCUGUUGGUAGAGAAGAACGUUGGUGAGAGUGGAAAGCUCAUCAAGUGACGGUAACUACCCAGAAAGGGACGGCU
rnacentral:rRNA from 1 species